GAACUACAAGUGAAAAACUUCAAACUUAAAGGACUUGACGGUAUCCCAAACCGACCUAGAGGAGCCUGUCCUAUAAUCGAUACCCCCCGCUCCACCCAACCUCAACUAGCACAAUAUCAGCCUAUAUACCGCCGUCGACAGCCUACCCUAUGAAGGUUCAACAGUAGACACAACAGCCCCCCGCUAACACGUCAGGUCAAGGUGUAGCAAAUGUUGAGGAAGAGAUUGGCUACAUUUUUUAUGAUAAAAAAAACGAAAAGUACUAUGAAACAGUACAUGAAGGUGAAUUUAGUAGUAAAAUAAACAAGAGUGUUUAUUUUAACACCGCUCUGGGAUGCGUACACACCGC
rnacentral:rRNA from 1 species